rnacentral:snoRNA from 1 species
ACGGCUCUUCAACACAUUUCAACAUGUUCAAGUGAUUUGUGCUAGUGGAUGAACGUUAUUAAUCUAUAGGUUUGGUUCUCGGGAGUUUUUCUUGGGAGUCGAGCCUUUUUUUCAUGCGGUUAUCCUUAAGCUUCACAAAUCACAGAUUAUCCCACGCAUUAAGAAAUAAGCUCAAGAUGCCUAGAAUAAGUUUUAUCCUGCCUUUUUUCGCUAACAAUGACUGAGUAUUUCCCACAGUCAAUAGUUUGAUAGUAGACGGGCAGAAAUUU